UAACGCGUAUGCAACCUACCUUUAACUGGAGGACAGCCCCGAGAAAUCGGGAUUAAUACUCUAUAAUAUUUUGAUACCGCAUGGUAUUAUAAUUAAAGCUCCGGCGGUUAAAGAUGGGCAUGCGUGACAUUAGUUUGUUGGUAAGGUAACGGCUUACCAAGACUUCGAUGUCUAGGGGUUCUGAGAGGAUUGUCCCCCACACUGGUACUGAGACACGGACCAGACUCC
rnacentral:rRNA from 1 species